rnacentral:lncRNA from 1 species
GCCAAAUCUGCCACUACCAUAUCACUUUCACGACAAAACUUGUCAGAGAGACCCCUUUAUCACUAGAUCUUCUCAUCCAGUCAUUGUCUGCCCUCAUUUCAGACUAAAACCAUCGGAAAACACUUCUACAAGCCAAAAAAUACCAUCACGUCACUAGAGCCUCUAUCCGACCAUUGCACUUCAUCGACCAUCGUCCCUCUCCCCCUUUUCCCGUCACCCAAAACCUCCGGAAUCACACCACCGGCGAAGCCCAAUUGUUGUCGUCAUCUCUCUCACAUCUCCGACGCCAAACCAGCCACCAAAACCCACUAGCGCUGUCCCUUUUUCUUCCAUCCCCGAUCUACACCCAUACUUACCGGAAAACACACACAUACUACAUGUAUACUCGCCAACCAACCACUAUCAAAAUACCCUUCUCUCAUUUUCUUUUUCUAAGUUUCAUCGGAAAACAAACUAAAUCUGACCAAAUUCAUAAUUUCUAGUGUCAUUCU